GGAGUAAUCCAGGUCAGUUUCUAUCUAUAACUGAGCUUUUUCUAGUACGAAAGGACCGAAAAAACAUGGCCAAUACCAAUGGCAAGCCAUAAUCCUUAAUUUAUGUAAUCAACUUAACUAACACAGGAUCCACCAAACAGCUUAAGAACAAAGCA
rnacentral:rRNA from 1 species